UGGGGAAUUUUGCACAAUGGGGGAAACCCUGAUGCAGCGACGCCGCGUGAUUUAGAAGGCCUUCGGGUUGUAAAAAUCUUUUCUAUGGGAAGAAAAUGACAGUACCAUAGGAAUAAGGACCGGCUAAUUACGUGCCAGCAGCCGCGGUAAUACGUAAGGUCCGAGCGUUGUCCGGAAUCAUUGGGCGUAAAGGGUACGUAGGCGGGUAAGCAAGUUAGAAGUGAAAUCCUAUAGCUCAAAUAUAGUAAGCUUUUAAAACUGCUCAUCUUGAGGUAUGGAAGGGAAAGUGGAAUUCCUAGUGUAGCGGUGAAAUGCGCAGAUAUUAGGAGGAAUACCGGUGGCGAAGGCGACUUUCUGGCCAUAACCUGACGCUGAGGUACGAAAGCGUGGGUAGCAAACAGG
rnacentral:rRNA from 1 species